CCCAGAAAUUAUCUGAGGUGUAACCUGCCCAAUGAUUUUUAAUUAUAAUAAAUAAAAAUUAUGAAAAAAAAUUUAAAGGACGCGGUAACCUUGACCGUGAUAAUGUAGCAUAAUCAUUCGCCAUUUAAUUGAUGGAUAGUAUGAAUGGUUGAACGAAUAUUUCACUGUCUUAAAAAGAAAUAACAAAAAACUAGGAUAAUAGUAAAGACACUAUUUCAGAUUGUAAGACGAAAAGACCCUAUAGAGCUUAACUAUAAUCUUUUUACAUAAAAAGAAUAUAAUUCCUAAAUAAAAAGAUUGGUAGUUUAGUUGGGGCGACUAUCUUUUAAAAAAAACAAAGAUAAGCAAAGUAAAUAAAAAAAACUUAUUGUAUAAAACAUAAAUUUAACAGUUAUAAAAAUAGGCUAUAAUGACCCGUUGUUUUUGUAUAAAAAAUACAACGAUCAAUAAAUAAAAGCUACCUUAGGGAUAACAGGAUAAUUUUAUUCUAGAGACCUAAUCGAAAAUAAAGUUUGUCACCUCUAUGUUGAAUUAAGAUAUCCCGGUAAUGCAGCAGUUACCAAAGGUAGGUCUGUUCGACCUUUAAAA
rnacentral:rRNA from 1 species